rnacentral:rRNA from 1 species
CAACCUACGGGGGGCAGCAGUGGGGAAUAUUGGGCAAUGGGCGCAAGCCUGACCCAGCAACGCCGCGUGAAGGAAGAAGGCUUUCGGGUUGUAAACUUCUGUUGUCAGGGACGAAGCACGUGACGGUACCUGACGAAUAAGCCACGGCUAUCUACGUGACAGCAGCCGCGGUAAUACGUAGGUGGCAAGCGUUAUCCGGAUUUACUGGGUGUAAAGGGCGUGUAGGCGGGGAAGCAAGUCAGAUGUGAAAACCACG